rnacentral:tRNA from 1 species
GGCAGUGUGGCCUAAUGGAUAAAGCAUAGGCCUGUGAGACAGAAGGGCCUGGGUUCUAGGCCCAGCUCUGCCA